CACGUAGGGCGCAAGCGUUGUCCGGAAUUAUUGGGCGUAAAGAGCUCGUAGGCGGUCUGUUGCGUCCGCUGUGAAAACUCGGGGCUUAACCCCGAGCCUGCAGUGGAUACGGGCAGACUAGAGGUAGGUAGGGGAGAAUGGAAUUCCCGGUGUAGCGGUGAAAUGCGCAGAUAUCGGGAGGAACACCGGUGGCGAAGGCGGUUCUCUGGGCCGGCCCUGACGCUGAGACGCGAAGGCGUGGGAGCGAACGGG
rnacentral:rRNA from 1 species